UGGUGGAGUGGUUUGUCUGGUUAAUUCCGUUAACGAACGAGACCUUAACCUGCUAAAUAGUCGCUUGAAUCUCUGAUUCUUGAUAGACUUCUUAGAGGGACUUUGUGCGUCUAGCACAAGGAAGUUUGAGGCAAUAACA
rnacentral:rRNA from 1 species